GAAACUGUGGGGAAGUGGAAGGAGAAGAACUUAGCAGAGUCGGAAAAUACGAAUUGGAUUUUGGCUUACACAAAGCCCUGUCCUAAAUGCAAGAGACCGAUUGAGAAGAAUGAAGGGUGUAUGCGAAUGACAUGUAGAGACCCUUGCAAGUAUCAGUUUUGUUGGUUGUGCCUUAAUUCUUGGUCAACUCAUGGCUAUAAUCCGUGUAACAAGUACAAGCCGGGGAAUGAAGAUGAGAAAAAGAAAAAAAUGGCCAAGCAAUCUAUUGUGAAGUACACACAUUAUUACGAGAGAUGGGCUACUAAUGAGAAGUCAAGGCAAAAAGCUGUAUCGGAUUUGAGGAGAAUGGGGGAAGUUAAUGUUAAGGAGCUGAGUGAAUUGCAAAGCAUACCAGAGACACAAUUGAAGUUCAUUAUAGAAGCUUGUGAAGGGUGUAUGCGAAUGACAUGCAGAGACCCUUGCAAGUAUCAGUUUUGUUGGUUGUGCCUUAAUUCUUGGUCAACUCAUGGCUAUAAUCCGUGUAACAAGUAC
rnacentral:lncRNA from 1 species